UAGAGUUUGAUCCUGGCUCAGAUUGAACGCUGGCGGCAUGCCUUACACAUGCAAGUCGGACGGCAGCGCGGGCUUCGGCCUGGCGGCGAGUGGCGAACGGGUGAGUAAUACAUCGGAACGUGUCCUGGAGUGGGGGAUAGCCCGGCGAAAGCCGGAUUAAUACCGCAUACGCUCUGCGGAGGAAAGCGGGGGACCUUCGGGCCUCGCGCUCAAGGGGCGGCCGAUGGCAGAUUAGCUAGUUGGUGGGGUAAAGGCCUACCAAGGCGACGAUCUGUAGCUGGUCUGAGAGGACGACCAGCCACACUGGGACUGAGACACGGCCCAGACUCCUACGGGAGGCAGCAGUGGGGAAUUUUGGACAAUGGGGGCAACCCUGAUCCAGCAAUGCCGCGUGUGUGAAGAAGGCCUUCGGGUUGUAAAGCACUUUUGUCCGGAAAGAAAGCGUCCUGGCUAAUACCUGGGGCGGAUGACGGUACCGGAAGAAUAAGCACCGGCUAACUACGUGCCAGCAGCCGCGGUAAUACGUAGGGUGCGAGCGUUAAUCGGAAUUACUGGGCGUAAAGCGUGCGCAGGCGGUUCGCUAAGACCGAUGUGAAAUCCCCGGGCUUAACCUGGGAACUGCAUUGGUGACUGGCGGGCUAGAGUAUGGCAGAGGGAGGUAGAAUUCCACGUGUAGCAGUGAAAUG
rnacentral:rRNA from 1 species